GUCUGCUUUAACAAUGACGGCCUUGGCAAUGCCUCACCUCGUCUAAUCUCUGAAGCUAAGCAGGGUCGGGCCUGGGUAGUACUUUGGAGAUGGAGACUGGGAGACUACUGGGAAUAGCAGGGC
rnacentral:rRNA from 1 species